rnacentral:rRNA from 1 species
GUGGGGAAUAUUGGACAAUGGGCGCAAGCCUGAUCCAGCAAUGCCGCGUGGGUGAAGAAGGUCUUCGGAUCGUAAAGCCCUUUCGACAGGGACGAUGAUGACGGUACCUGUAGAAGAAGCCCCGGCUAACUUCGUGCCAGCAGCCGCGGUAAUACGAAGGGGGCUAGCGUUGCUCGGAAUUACUGGGCGUAAAGGGCGCGUAGGCGGCUUAGUCAGUCAGGCGUGAAAUUCCUGGGCUUAACCUGGGGUCUGCGUUUGAGACGGCUGAGCUAGAGGGUAGGAGAGGGUCGUGGAAUUCCCAGUGUAGAGGUGAAAUUCGUAGAUAUUGGGAAGAACACCGGUGGCGAAGGCGGCGACCUGGCCUAUUACUGACGCUGAGGCGCGACAGCGUGGGGAGCAAACAGGAUUAGAUACCCCAGUAGUCC